rnacentral:ncRNA from 2 species
UUUUUGCAUUAGGGGCGUCGAUAUUGGCUGAGAAGAACUCUUUGAACCUGAACCAAAUUAUGCUGGCGUAGGCGAGUGCGACACUAAUGAU